AUUGAACGCUGGCGCCAGGCUUAGCACAUGCAAGUCGAGCGGGGUGAUGGUGCUUGCACUAUCACUUAGCGGCGGACGGGUGAGUAAUGCUUAGGAAUCUGCCUAUUAGUGGGGGACAACAUCUCGAAAGGGAUGCUAAUACCGCAUACGUCCUACGGGAGAAAGCAGGGGAUCACUUGUGACCUUGCGCUAAUAGAUGAGCCUAAGUCGGAUUAGCUAGUUGGUGGGGUAAAGGCCUACCAAGGCGACGAUCUGUAGCGGGUCUGAGAGGAUGAUCCGCCAAACUGGGACUGAGACACGGCCCAGAGUCCUACGGGAGGCAGCAGUGGGGAAUAUUGGACAAUGGGGGGAACCCUGAUCCAGCCAUGCCGCGUGUGUGAAGAAGGCCUUAUGGUUGUAAAGCACUUUAAGCGAGGAGGAGGCUCUUUUGGUUAAUACCCAAGAUGAGUGGACGUUACUCGCAGAAUAAGCACCGGCUAACUCUGUGCCAGCCGCCGCCGUAA
rnacentral:rRNA from 1 species